rnacentral:rRNA from 1 species
GACGAACGCUGGCGGCGUGCCUAAUACAUGCAAGUAGAACGCUGAAGGAGGAGCUUGCUCUUCUGGAUGAGUUGCGAACGGGUGAGUAACGCGUAGGUAACCUGCCUGGUAGCGGGGGAUAACUAUUGGAAACGAUAGCUAAUACCGCAUAAGAGUAGAUGUUGCAUGACAUUUGCUUAAAAGGUGCAAUUGCAUCACUACCAGAUGGACCUGCGUUGUAUUAGCUAGUUGGUGGGGUAACGGCUCACCAAGGCGACGAUACAUAGCCGACCUGAGAGGGGGCUCGGCCACACUGGGACUGAGACACGGCCCAGACUCCUACGGGAGGCAGCAGUAGGGAAUCUUCGGCAAUGGACGGAAGUCUGACCGAGCAACGCCGCGUGAGUGAAGAAGGUUUUCGGAUCGUAAAGCUCUGUUGUAAGAGAAGAACGAGUGUGAGAGUGGAAAGUUCACACUGUGACGGUAUCUUACCAGAAAGGGACGGCUAACUACGUG